GAUGAACGCUAGCGGGAGGCCUAACACAUGCAAGCCGAGCGGUAGAAGUCCUUCGGGACUUUGAGAGCGGCGCACGGGUGCGGAACACGUGUGCAACCUGCCUUUAUCUGGGGGAUAGCCUUUCGAAAGGAAGAUUAAUACCCCAUAACAUAUUGAGUGGCAUCACUUAAUAUUGAAAACUCCGGUGGAUAGAGAUGGGC
rnacentral:rRNA from 1 species